ACAAAAUCAAAAAAAGGAGAGAGAACCCCAUAGAAGUUCUCUGUGUCUUCUUCUAUCACUUUCCCCUUUUGAAACCCUAAUUAUCUUCCUCAACCCGACUCACCGUUUCUCAGUUUCAAUUUCUCUCCAAUUUUCCUUAACUUUCUGUAAUCUCCUGAAUGCAGAUAUAGAUAUAUAGUAGCAAGGUUUGAUAAAUACUUGAUAGAAAUGUAUAGAGAUCGAGGAGGUGGCGGAGGAGGAGGUGGUGGUUCAUCGAAGUCGGAGAUGAUCGGUGGACCGUUGGAUCGGAAAAGAAUCAACGAUGCGUUGGAUAAGCACUUAGAGAAGUUGUCACCUUCUACAUCUAGGUCUUUGAAGGAUAAAGCUGUUCCCUCUACGUCAACCGGUGGUGGUGGUGGUGCUGGAAAAUCGCAUUUUGAUCAUCGUAAUACCAACAAAAACAAGUGCUCCGAUGAGGAAUCUGAAACGGACAGUGAAGAGUCUGAUGUUAGUGGUUCUGAUGGGGA
rnacentral:misc_RNA from 1 species